UACAGGGGGGGCAAGCGUUGUUCGGAAUUACUGGGCGUAAAGGGCGCGUAGGCGGACAGUUUAGUCAGAGGUGAAAGCCCAGGGCUCAACCUUGGAAUUGCCUUUGAUACUGGCUGUCUUGAGUUCGGGAGAGGUGAGUGGAAUGCCGAGUGUAGAGGUGAAAUUCGUAGAUAUUCGGCGGAACACCAGUGGCGAAGGCGACUCACUGGCCCGAUACUGACGCUGAGGCGCGAAAGCGUGGGGAGCAAACAGG
rnacentral:rRNA from 1 species